GCCUCCUGGACUACAAGUGUGUGCCACCACCCCUGGCAGCUCCUGCUUGUGUGCUUGAUUUGUGGAGCUGAUGCCUACUCCUAGCUGCAAGGGAGGCUGGCAAAGUGAAAUCAUAGCCUCCAUUUGGGAUAGAAGGCAAGAAGGCCUCAAGUGUAUGAAGACUGUAAAAAGGUGCAGCACAGCUAGAAAACAUGACGAAGGUCCAUGGGCUGGAAUGUAGAAGUGGACUUUUGGCCACGUGGAUGAGGAAUUGAAGCAGUCAGUUCUGAUCUAGAGAUGGAAGGCGCCUGCUGAGGACAGCAGGGCUGCUUGGCACCC
rnacentral:lncRNA from 1 species